ACGCUGGCGGCGUGCCUAAUACAUGCAAGUAGAACGCUGAAGGAGGAGCUUGCUUCUCUGGAUGAGUUGCGAACGGGUGAGUAACGCGUAGGUAACCUGCCUGGUAGCAGGGGAUAACUAUUGGAAACGAUAGCUAAUACCGCAUAACAGUAGAUGUUGCAUGACAUUUGCUUAAAAGGUGCAAUUGCAUCACUACCAGAUGGACCUGCGUUGUAUUAGCUAGUUGGUGGGGUAACGGCUCACCAAGGCGACGAUACAUAGCCGACCUGAGAGGGUGAUCGGCCACACUGGGACUGAGACACGGCCCAGACUCCUACGGGAGGCAGCAGUAGGGAAUCUUCGGCAAUGGACGGAAGUCUGACCGAGCAACGCCGCGUGAGUGAAGAAGGUUUUCGGAUCGUAAAGCUCUGUUGUAAGAGAAGAACAGGUGUGAGAGUGGAAAGUUCACACUGUGACGGUAUCUUACCAGAAAGGGACGGCUAACUACGUGCCAGCAGCCGCGGUAAUACGUAGGUCCCGAGCGUUGUCCGGAUUUAUUGGGCGUAAAGCGAGCGCAGGCGGUUAGAUAAGUCUGAAGUUAAAGGCUGUGGCUUAACCAUAGUACGCUUUGGAAACUGUUUAACUUGAGUGCAAGAGGGGAGAGUGGAAUUCCAUGUGUAGCGGUGAAAUGCGUAGAUAUAUGGAGGAACACCGGUGGCGAAAGCGGCUCUCUGGCUUGUAACUGACGCUGAGGCUCGAAAGCGUGGGGAGCAAACAGGAUUAGAUACCCCUGGUAGUCCACGCCGUAAACGAUGAGUGCUAGGUGUUAGACCCUUUCCGGGGUUUAGUGCCGCAGCUAACGCAUUAAGCACUCCGCCUGGGGAGUACGACCGCAAGGUUGAAACUCAAAGGAAUUGAC
rnacentral:rRNA from 1 species